rnacentral:rRNA from 1 species
AGCAAGCGUUGUCCGGAAUUAUUGGGCGUAAAGCGCGCGCAGGCGGUCUUUUAAGUCUGGUGUCUAAGUGCGGGGCUCAACCCCGUGUCGCACUGGAAACUGGGAGACUUGAGUGCAGAAGAGGAGAGCGGAAUUCCACGUGUAGCGGUGAAAUGCGUAGAGAUGUGGAGGAACACCAGUGGCGAAGGCGGCUCUCUGGACUGUAACUGACGCUGAGGCGCGAAAGCGUGGGGAGCAAACAGGAUUAGAUACCCUGGUAGUCCACGCCGUAAACGAUGAGUGCUAGGUGUUGGGGGGGUCCACCCCUCGGUGCCGAAGUUAACACAUUAAGCACUCCGCCUGGGGAGUACGGUCGCAAGACUGAAACUCAAAGGAAUUGAACGGGGACCCCGCACAAGCAGUGGAGUAUGUGGGUUUAAUUCGAAAGCAACGCCGAA